rnacentral:lncRNA from 1 species
UGGCACUGCGCAUAGUGCCGCUGCCAACCUUUGCCUCCUUGCGGUGAUCAGGCAGGUGGUGCCAUCCCUUCCCAUCUUUCCCCAAGGAAGCAGAUGCUCUGGUCUCAAACCAGGCCCAGAGCCAAGAUCCUGGUCUGCCGCUUAUUACCUUGUGGGUAAGAAUAGGUGUAAUGCUGCCCCAUGCUCCCAAUGACAGGCAAAAGGCAGCUGAUAUGCCUCACAAACGUAUCAGAUAAAUCCAGAGCAAAGAGCAUUUAUAGUUUUGGACCCUGAUUCACCUCUGCCGUAUUGCACUUUGCCAGAGGAAUCCAAACCCCUGAAGGUGAGAGUAUGCUGCUGGCAUGCUGCUGCAUGAAUAAUGUCAUGGAAGUUUAAGACACAGAGCUGCUAGCAGGUGGAGGAAGGGUCUGUGAUAACCAGCUGUGGUCAUUUCCUGAGUGACAGGAGAGGGAGGGAUUACCCAGUGAUGGAGAAUUUGAUCAGGGUGAAACACACAUGCCUUCAUCUGCCCAAACAAUUCUGUCAUUCCCUCUGACAUUUCCACUAGCAAGCAGAGCUUUACUUAGGUAGCAUGAAGCUAUUUCCAGAGCUCAGCCUGUCUGAGCUGAAAUCAGAGUGUAGCCACUGUCACAAUUAGAGCUGAUAAGCAAUGGGAUCAAAGAAUAAUAGUAGUUGUAGUUAGAAGGGAGUCUCAGCUACUCAACCGGCUUUGGUUCAGGUCCCGUAUCCUGCAGCCUCCUCCAGCAGCCACUGAGAGAAAGGUGAAGGGAACAGAGUCUCAAGGAACUUUCAAGAGAAAAGAUAAUAUUUUGAAUGAUUUCCUGACAAGGGGUAAUUUUCUGACAUUCUCCUGCACAAGUGAGUGCUGCAGGAGGCUAUCUUCAGUCUGAGCCUGCAGGAGGGUCAGUGCUGUGUAUCCUGCCAGAUAGUAAAGGGAUCUCUCACAUAGUGUGAUGGAAGAGGUCUCUGGUAGGGAGGGCUCCUCCCUGAGGAGGUUUUAAAGUUGAGAGGUUCACUGCAUAGCUGCUCUGUUUGCAAUAGUACUGCUCUGCAGGUGAAGAGCACCUAUAAAGCUGACAAGGUGACCACUGUGUCAUGAUGAGCUCCUCAUCCAUAAAACAAAAGUAUGGGCUUAGCCACCUUCACCUCUCAGGAGAACAGUUCUGCAUUAUUUAUAUAGCUGGGAUGUAAAGUUCAGUACAAAAUUUCAAGUCUCUCUUGGGUGGCUGGCAAAAAGGGCACUGAACAACCGGUCUCCCUUUCACCUCUGCAUGGCCCUCCUAGCCUAGGCUCAGCCAGUCAGGUAGGUUGUCCCAUUCAGCGAUGGCUGCCUCUGCCUCUUUGAAGGUGUGUAACUGAGGCUCUUUUAUCCAUGGUAUUCUUUUGUCUUUCCUGCUGGAUCCUUUACAACCUCCUUCUAGCCUCUGCUGGCCUAAUUCUGUAUACCCUAGGCAUUGGUGCAAUAGGGACAGGGAGGCAGAGCCACCAUCACCUUGAUGCAAGGUGAUGCAGAUACUUCCCCACUUCAUUUUUUCAUUCAUGUUUUUCUGGAAAGCAUUAAUCCAGGAUAUCAGCGCCACUUACAGGGCAGGAAGGACUGAAUUCUUGUGCUCAGCUCUGGCUAAACUACCUGGCCACAAGUCUGUCUUCUUCUCCCUCUGCAGCUUUUUUCUUCCAUUGGUUUGUAUCCACCACGAGAGAGCAGGCUCAAAAUCCUGGUUUCAGAGAAGACAAUGGAAGUUUACUAGGUGUCCUCAGUGAGGACACGUUUUUCACUCUCUGAAUUUCAGGAUCCUCCUGAGCAAGGAUUGAAACUAAGAUCAUCAACAAGCAUGAAGAAAUGGGUCAUAAUGAUCUUGGCCCUUUGGCCACUUCCUUAUGGGAAAUGCAAUGUUCCAACAGAUCCAUAUUUCCUACAAAGUCUACUCAGAAGUGAAGAAACCAUAUCACACUCAUGAGUGUGCUGCAUGUUCCCUGGGUCUCUGCCUGGCUGCUUAGACAUGGAUCCAAAGGGACUUUUUUAUCCUCAUCAUUUCAUUUGCCGUCAGUUUGGAGCUGGGGCUGGUUUUUAACAUCUGUUUGUACAACGGGGCCCUAUGCACUGGGCUCUAAUUUGGAGGCUUCUGGCUGCUAUUGUUAUACACAUAAUUAACGAUAAUAAAAAUCUUAAAGAUC